rnacentral:rRNA from 1 species
CCUACGGGAGGCAGCAGUAGGGAAUCUUCCACAAUGGGCGAAAGCCUGAUGGAGCAACGCCGCGUGAGUGAUGAAGGCCUUCGGGUUGUAAAACUCUGUCAUUCGGGACGAACCGGAGUCUGAGGAAAUGCAGACUCUCUGACGGUACCGGAGGAGGAAGCCCCGGCUAACUACGUGCCAGCAGCCGCGGUAAUACGUAGGGGGCAGGCGUUGUCCGGAUUCACUGGGCGUAAAGCGCGCGCAGGCGGUGAUGUAAGUCUGAGGUGAAAACCCGAAGCUCAACUUCGGGACUGCCUUGGAUACUGCGUCACUUGAGGAUAGGAGAGGCAAGGGGAAUUCCACGUGUAGCGGUGAAAUGCGUAGAGAUGUGGAGGAACACCUGUGGCGAAGGCGCCUUGCUGGCCUAUUUCUGACGCUGAGGCGCGAAAGCGUGGGGAGCAAACAGGAUUAGAUACCCUGGUAGUCCACGCUGUAAACGAUGAGUGCUAGGUGUAGGUGGGCUCAUACCCAUCUGUGCCGAAGCUAACGCAUUAAGCACUCCGCCUGGGGGUACGGUCGCGAGACUGAAACUUAAAUGAAUUGACGG